AACUUCCCCUCAUCCCAUUCCCGCUGCAGUCCUGGUGAGCCACAUCAAGUCCCAGGUAACAUGUGAGAGACACGGUGUGGAGAGCCUGGCCCCCAUGUCCCCAUGGGGCACGGGGCAGAGGGCAAGCUUCUCAGGAGGGAAGGGUGGUGAGGGACUGGGUGGAAAGCAUUAACCCCCACACCCAUCCAAGCAGUCUUUGGAGAGGAAAUUCUAAUUCUGGAGGAAUUCUGAUUUUUUUCUUUCAGAAGUGAUGUCACUCACCAAAGUGCAGUAACUGCUGUCUGCUGGCCCUUGAUAAUAGGCAGGUUUUGGGACCAUCAAGCUUUGGGCAGCUUAACCCAAACCUAGGUUGGUCUCACCCACCUGCUUGUAAAGUUUGCUUUUCCAGCUACUCCCUGUCACUUCUCUUGUGACUAGCAUGUGGGACACGUACCCACAUGUCCAUGGCACAGCUGAUGAGAAUGGCACUGCCUCGGUGAGGCUUGAUGGGGCUGGAAGUUGCAGGGCCAAAACUGAUAAAACUCCUUGGGAGCAAACUUCUGACUACUCUGAGACUUUCCACAGGUCCUGGCACCAGGAUCCCAGCAGGGUCCCCCACCCCCUGGGGAAAACAAGGCUCUGAAGUUGUAAUCUGACUUAAAAGCUCCCAGCAGGGAAUUAAUUCCCCUCCCAAGCAACAUUGUUCAAGAAGCUUGGGAUCUGACUCCUGAGGAAGUGUGGCAAAUUUCUCCUCUGAAUUUGUUGGGAUCAUCUUUUAACCCUGGCAUCUCAUCUUGCCUUUUUCGCCUCGAUUAAGGAGCUAUCUGCUAUCGAAGGUAUCGUCUUCAGGUAAUACCUUGUAGACCAUCAUCCCAUCAUCUCACAUCCUCCUCUUGGACAAAUGCAGUGCAUUUUAUGCCUCUGAAAUAGAGUGAGCAAAGUGGAGCCUCCACGUACUGCUGACUGGACCAGUACUUCAGCUGCUGUCUGGAGUGGGUACCAGCAGGGAAGAACACACAGGAGGCUGUAUAAUGGGCACCCUCACGGCUGAAGAACUCAAAUCAGAGACUUACAGGUAUGUGACAAAUCAAGCCAAAGAUCCUAAUAUUUAAGAAAACUAGGGCUGCUUUAUUUCCCUGAGAGUUGGGCAGAGCUGUAACAACAUACUAUAUUUAGAGCAUAUGGAAGUACAACACACUAACCAUGGGUUGCAUUUAUAAUAGUAUUUUUGGACAUAACUUAAAAGGACUAUUUUGUUUCAUGUUUUGGUCUACUUUUGUUGGCAAGAAGUACUUGCCUGGGUCCUCAUGAAAAGUAUGCUACCCACUGUAGUUUUCACCAUUUGAGUGCUCUCACAACUGACUGAACUUGAUACCUAGGAAAAAAAGAGCGGUCAGAAACUUCAAUACAAAUGCUAUAAUAUGUAUCCUAAUAGCUUUAAUGCUGAGAGACUGGUGUUUGGUUUUAUUGUUCAUAAAAUUUGUAUUGAUAACUACUUAAGCUAUAUUAAUGAUUCCCACAUAUGACUUUCCUAAUAAUCUAUAACAAGCCAUGAAAUCUACUAUUUGUGGUAGGACCCACCCAUGAAAUCAGGCAACUUUGUAAGUAAAUUUUGUAAGUAAUACUAUUGUAAAUAUUGUGGUAAAAUACGCAAUAUAAAUGCAAGUGUACCAUUAUAUCCACAGCAUAUGUAUUAAUGUAACCAUUAAAUGGAAUAGUACUGCCACAAUAUUAAUACAUUUUAGAUUAUAGUAGCAGAACUAAUACACAUUAGCUGACAUCAUUUUCCUACAGUAAUUACUGGAAUACUACAUUAUCCAUAAGAAACUGCCAUCUGCCUUCAAGAACCCAAUUUAUCUGCCCUUUCAGAGUAGCAGGAGCCCAGCUGGCCUCUCUGGAGACAGAGCUCCAGCUGAGGAGCAGUAACAGAUCUUUCAGGAACAGCAGAGGUUCACAGGCCAGUGUUUUGGUGAUACCAACUUCUUGGAGCUGUGUAGGUACCACUGACAUGGGAAGCUCUUUGGGAAAUGUUUGCUGCAGAAGCACCCUCACCUAAGAGCUGUGGAUGCCUGGCACUUCUGUGUUCUCUACCUUCUAUUCUCAGACAAAAAAAUCUGAUGAAAAUGCUGGAGGACAGGACUAGAGGAGUUUUGUUUUGUGAUGGUGAGAGGUGGAGGAGUUCUCAGAUUAAUUUACCAGAUUAAUGUUGAUUCUGAUCAAUGAAAAUGAUGAAAGGCCAUAAACUCCUUCUGAGAUACUUGGGGCUUUUCAGCUUACAGAAGAGGCAUAAAUACACAUUUCACUUAUAAUGUAAACUGAAUAUCCUCGUUUGACUAGUUUUAAGGGCUGCCCUAACUCCUGGCCAGAAGCAAUCCUUAUUCUCUAAGAAUUCCUAUUCUCAGGAAAAAUGAAAUGACAGACUGUUGUUGGAUGGGUCAGCCCUUGUGGGACUAAACUGAGCAUCUCCAGCCAUCAAAUGGAGGAUCUUUGUUUCUCACUGCAUGAAAUGGAGACUCUGAAUCCCACAGAGUGUACAGUCACAAUGCUAUCAGCCUGCUAAUUAAAUGGAUUUCACAAGUUAUCCCAAUUGGAAAAGUAACAACUAUUUUUCACAAAACUACAGGAAAAAUACUCUGUUCAAUACAAAAGAUUUUCUCCUUGCAGAAAAUGGGCAGAACAUGGUGAGACACUGGAAUGAGCCACACAAAAAUCCAGGAAGGUAAUACUGGUAAGAAAUGUCAUAAUGGAAUGGCUUUCCAUUCCAGGAUCUCACAUUCCCACAUGUGAUUCCUCUUAUUUUUAUGUCCCUCAUUCACAAGACAUCCAAAUCAGUAGCGCAGGACUUUCUGGUGCCUGCAAAAUCUUGCAUGAUAUUAAAAUGCUAACCGUGUGCAAAUACCAUUAAUUACUAACUGAAGUAAUUUUUCUUCUGGGCUCUCAGAAAACCUUUCUAAUUCCAUUUUCUAGAUGAGCACUUCUUAAAUGGGCACUGUAUAUCCACAACAGGAACACGCUGCGGUUGAGGCCAGCUCAAGCAUGGGCUGGGCAGAAAGGCUUAUGAUGGAGAACUUUGCUACAUCCAUGAUUUACCCCUCACGCUGACAUGCCCUUCUCUACUUCCAACAGGACCCUGAAACCCAUCUCAUUCCUUCCUCCUGAAGAGGCAGCUGGCAAAAGCUGGGUUGAGGACAGAGAUGCACAUGUCAUAGAGCUAGUCUGCUCAGUGUUCUCAGUGUUCCCUCCUAACUACAAUGGAAUGCUUACUGUAUCCCAGUCACAUCAAAAGGAUGCCACUUGGCAGGGAAACUACUGGGAGAAAGUGCAAGGAGAUGAAUAUGAAGAAGUGCCUAGUCUAGAAACACAGUUGCAAAGGCUAGUAAAUCCCUCUGAACUCUGCUCCAUUUCUGCUCUAUAUCCCAGUGUAAAACUGACUCUCAAAACAAAGUCUGGUUCUCAAAGCAAAGAGCAGAGACAGACAUCAUGGCAGGAGAAAGAUAGUCAAGCAAUGCAACUCUGAACAAUAUCUGUUCCAAGAGAAUUUUGGCCCUGUUACUCUCCCUGCAGACCUGUAAAGCACAGACAAGAAACAGCACUUAAGAAACUGGACUGUAGUGGAGCAGGUAUUUCAUCUGGCAUCAUUACAGGCAACAAAGGAAAACAAUCUGUUGAGUUCACUUCUGUUUGGAUUGGCCUGCUGCUGAAGAACUACUGCAAUUUAGGAAUAUCUGAGACAUGUGAAGUAUAAAAACAGAGAAAAUGCAGAUGAAAUAGUGAGUUGACAGAAGUCAAA